rnacentral:lncRNA from 1 species
GUAAGGUAUAUUUUAUAUCAAAAAUUUUAUGGAUAGAAACAAAACCAAAUAUUCACUAAUGGCAAUACGAAAAGAUGAAUCAAAAGAAGAGAGUAACUUUCCAUUUAAAAAAUGAGUUACCAUAACAACACCUCCUUUCUCUCUCAAUUUUCUUAUUUCGAUAUUGUCAAUAUAAUUUUAUAUACGGGCUAAAAUAUGACGCUUGGAAAAGUCACUGUUGCCCACUUUACGCGUGGACGUAAACUACUGGACAAAACAGGUACGCAAACAAAAAACCUCGCGUUGACGAAAUGUCCUGAAACGGUUGUGUGGCGCCACAGUCUGACAAACUCGGAUUUUUUGCUGGAACUGUGUUAUGGCGCCCUACGGCUCUAAACAAAACAACAAAGCUGUUUUUCUCCUCUAUUGGAAGGAAAAUUCAGUGUUGCUAAUAUCUCGCCAAUUACAUAAACAAGAACGAAACGCUUUUUUACACUCGUAUACAAUCUCUUCUACUCUUGAAUUACUGUUGGCAGUGAAGUGAAAACAUCUAGGUGUAUACGUCGCAUUCUUUAUCACGAAGCAAUCCAGUGCAAAAUGCUUUUCUACCGCAGUUUAAUGUUUGCUCUUUUUUUGGCUAUUUCAGUAUACCAGGGGAGUGCCCAAUACGCCAAAGCUUGCUGGACGGAUUCCGACUGUGUUGUUUCCUGGUACCACUCUCCUGCACCUCAACGAUGCAUCAACAACCGCUGUGAAUCGGUAAAUAUUUUUGACGGGUGCGAAGACUUCGAGCGUAAAACUGGAAUCAAGGCUCAGCGGGUAUGAAACGCUCUAUCGAAAUGUUGAAGCGGGGACGUUUGAGACAGCUGUAUUCAGGGAGUUGUAACAUGGGAGUUUGAAGGAAAAUUGGUGCUUCGCAGAAAUACGCAAUCUCUGCGCUUUAAUCUAACCUGCCCAUUUAUUUACAAGAAAAAUGCAUUCGACUUAAUUCUCAAAAAUGAAUUUAAGUAUCAUUGUAAGUACCAGUUAUGGAAUCCCUCAUGUACAUUAAAGCUUUUAAAGCACUUAUUUAGCUUUUAUUGUUUUGUCAUCGUUUCCCUCAUGUAAGAAUGUAACUACAGAUCAAAGUUGUCAUAUUUCCUCGCUUAGAUUGUUUUUUUAAGAGGAGAAUUUUGAAAAUUGCGAACUGAAAAAUUCACUGCUUUUUCCUCUGAUCUCGUGCAAAAAGCAGAAAACGUUUCGACGAAUAUCACGUAAGUACAUGCUUGUAAGAAAUUGCAUUGUUUGAGUCAAUUUUGCAACCUUGGAGUGGAGUUACGUUCCUUCGUUCGAGAAACGACGGUGUGUGUUGCAUUUUGAAUACCUACAAUAAGUGGCACAUUUCAAUCACUUUUAAAAAAGUUUGAAUGAGGAACUUUUCUAAGGGAGUUUCCGCACUUACUAGAUGUAAGAAUUUCUGUGUAUUUGAUCCCCAUUAUUUUUUAAUGACUGGAAAACCUUUUGAUUUUGCAAUUCCCUAGCCACGUAUCACGUACUUUACAAUGUUUUAAAAUCUCCGCUCCUUUUUCAUUUUUUUUUUAAAAAGAAGAACAUAUUAACAUCAUUCCUUGAAGUUUUUACAGUAUUUCCUUCGCACAGAGAAGAAAAAUCACGACAGUUUUUAAAAAUUGACAUAUAAUGUAGUUUUUCAAUUUAAAAAAUUAAGUAUGACAGGAAUUCCGUAACGUCGCAAACCAAGAUAAGUGGUUUUUGAGUUUCACCAUUGCGUCGCUCCUCUUUUUAAGUCUCUUAUUUCCCGAUUCCAUCGUAUGUAUCAUGAAUACUAAAAUCAUAUUGGAGUUAAUUUUUUUGAAGCUAACCGAAGUUAACAAAAAUUGAGUAAUGACUGCUUUAUUUUUAGGAGCCUCGUCCGAUGUUUAUUUCCUCGUGAAAAGCUAUUACUUUUGCCUUUCGACCCAACUAAAUAACCUAUUGGCAACUAGGUUCCUACCAUUGGGUGUUAGAUUAAAACGGCAUAUCGACGGUGAAACUAUCAAACCACGUAUCUCGGUUUGCGACGUCGCAGACUUGCUGUCAUACUUUAUUUUUUAAAUGAAAAACUACUUAACGUCCAGUAUUGAAAAUUU